CGUCCCCCGAGGAAGCACCUGUUCUUGCCAGAACCCUGCAAGGAGCAACUGCUGCCAAUGGGUCCCAACAGGGAGCACCUGUGGCUGCCAGGCCCCCACUGAACAGAAAAAUAAGGGUCCCUGAAAAUAUCAGGCAGUAUGUGACAAGGAAUAUCAUCUUAACGCCUUUGCCCCUAAGGAAACCCAUGGGACGACCUACAUCUUCCAGGACACCUGUUCCCACCACAUCCCCUGGGCAACCUGAUUCUGUUGCAUCCCCUGAGGAUGCACCUGAUCUGGCCAGGACUCCUGAGGAUACACCUUUGCCUGGUGCAUCCCCUGAGGGAGCACCUCUUCCAACCAGGUCCUCUGAGGGAGAUCCUCUUCCAGCCAGGUCACCUCUGAAGUCGUUUGUGCUUGCUGCAUACCCUGAGGAGGCAUCUGUACUCACCACCUCCCCUGAGGGAGCACAUCUUCCAGCCAGAUCCUCUGAGGCAGCACAUGUGCCUGCAGCGUCCUUGGAGGAAGCACCUGUUCCAGCCAGGUCACCUCUAAAUGCAUCUGUGCCUACUGCAUACCCCAAGGAGGCAUCUUUACUCACCACCUCCCCUGAGGGAGCAACUCGUCUGGCCAGGUCCCCUGAGAGAGCAUCUGUACCCGCUGGGUCUACUGAGGUGGGAGCACCUCUUCUGAACAGGUCCUCCAAGGGAGCCCCUGUGCCUGCUGCACCCCCUGUGGAAGCACCUGUACCGUCCAGGUCCACUGAGGAAGCACCUAUGUCCUGUGCAUCCCCCAGAGAAGUACCUGUACCCACCACAUCCCCUAAGAGAGCGCCUGUGCCUUCUGCAUUGCCAGAGGAAGUACCUCUGCCUGGUGCUUCUUCUAAGGGAGCAACUGUGUCCACUGUUCCAGCCAGUUCCCAUGGGGAAUCAGCUACACCCGUCACCUCCAUUGAUGGAGCACACAGACUUACCACACCCCCACAGGGGUCACCUCGGAAGAGGUCAUUCCCAUGGAGCAAUGAAGCUUCUGACAAUGUAGGCAUGGUUUAUCUUCCUCCACUGAAAAAACAAUGUAUGGAGAAAGACUCUACAGCCUCUCCAUGUUCUCAGCACACUAUGAAGAGGAUGUGCCCAUGGACCACUGGAGAUUCGGUAAAUCUCUCCUAUCGGUUAUUUUGCUUUUCAGAUUGGUUAAAAAACCUUUAUUUUAAAUCUUUUAUAUUAUAUUUUAAUAUAUGUAGAUUUAUGUCUUAAGAUUAUGUCUAAAAGCUCUCAUUAAACCUGCAUGUGCAUUACAUGUCUGUUUUUUCAACAGGACAAUGAUGUGCUUCAGCCUCCUCCACUUAAGAAACGAUGUGUGAGAAAAGCCCAGUACCUAAAGAGCACACAUGUAAAGGUUAGUGCCUCCUGUCUAUCAUUUUUACAUUUCAUAUUUAUAAAACUAAAACCAAAUAAGUCACUGGAUCUUUUAAAUACUUUGUAUUAUAAUUCGGUACACAUUUUUAUAUGUGACGAGUGUCCUACUUUUCAAUUCAUAAACCCUUGCAUGUUUAACGAUAAAAGUGAUAUGUCUUUUUCCCUUCUUACCAUUUACUAAACCUAUUUUUUUCUGUUUUCUCAACAGGAUUGUGUACGUCAGCGAUUUCCACAAAAACAGCAGAGCAUCAAAUGAAAGAGGACCUUCACCUUCGCACUUUACUACUGUUACUGUGUUUUUUGAUAAUGAAUGAAUCAAUAAAAACC
ensembl:lncRNA